GUAAAUCUUCCCAAUAAUGGGAACAUUCUUUCCAAUAAAUUUAAAACCAAGUCUGAAUGAUGUUACAAGCCUGACCAUUUUGAGAAGGGUCCAGGGUUCUCUGACAUUAAUAUGCCUUCGUAACAGAAGCAGCCAACACUGAAUUGGGAAUCGAGUUAAUUGAUGCCUCCUCUGCAUGCUGGCCUGUCAUGUCCUAAUGAUCUUCCUUUGGAAAUUGUUACUCUAUACUAGAGAUCAGUAACUUUAGAAAGCGAGCUUGAGUUUCAUCUUCGGCCUGCAAUGAAAAUGUUUUCUGUAUUACUAUACUUUUCCUCAAUCUCUUGACAAUCUAUUGUAAAAGGAGAGGGUGAGCGUGUGCAUGUAAGUUUUCUGCAGAAGGCAUUAGGUUAAUUUAGUUGGGAAUCAUUAGAGUGACAGGAGAUCGUCAGCUCUACUACUUAUAUUAUGAGAAAUCAUUCUAGCAGACAAUGCAAAAUAUUAAGAGAGAAAAACAGAUAAGUAAUCAAAGGACAAGAAGUGCUUGUUUUUUUAUAGGUGAGAAUAACAGUUCUGGCCAUAGCUGAAGAUAUUCAAUUUGGCACAUGUUGGCUUUUAUUGAAUAGUGUCAGCCAUCAAGUCAUCAGAAUCAACAUACGUGGGAAUAGUACAAAAACCAAUAGUCACAGUUGAAAAGGAUAUGAAAAUGAACACAAUGAAGAGCAUUUGCUUCCCUACUACCAGGCCACAAUGACUUAUGGCUUAUAUCAGGAUUGUGCUCCACCAUGUCAGGUAAGUUACAAACAUCAUCAUCGAUUGUGAAGCACACUGGUAUGUUGGAGUAGGCAGAUAAGUUCUCCUACUUCAAUUUUUCGUUGUACCUUUUGUAUAAAUGGGAAAUACUCUGAUAAAUAUGUUAUUUUUCUCAUAAAACAAAAAUAAAAAAGUCAUCCACAAUAAGGCUAGUUAGUGAACUAUUCUCUAUUUGGAGUAGAUCCAGAAAUUAGGGCUAGUUUUUGCAACUCCUGCAACUCUAGAGAGUGAUCUUCAGAGAGAUGGAGAAGGCUAUUGCUGCUUGGAAUUGGUAACAGGAUUUCUAUUUUGACAUAAAGUUAUGCCAUUUCGUCCUUUGUGUAGUGUGUUGAUGGCGCUGAAGGAAUGUGCUGUUGCCAACAAUGGGAAGUGGUGAAAAGCAUAGAACUGUCUGAAUCUCUGUAUUGCAUAACGAUAAAUGGAAUAUUAGCUAGUGAGCUUUUUUAGCAUACAUGAAAAGAUAAUGGAUUUGAAUCUCUAGUGCCAUUAGGGUUUGAUGAGUUACAUAAUGCCAAGUGAUGCAUCCUAGAAUUUUGUUCUGCAACUGUGAAACUGUCAACUCAAUUUUCUCUGUUACUUACUAUCACUUUGUUUGAAAGUGAAAUGAUGAUACUGUGCAGAUUCUAUUUGCUUUUAGAUUCCUCUGCUGGCCCUUGAGUUUAUAAUUUGAAUGGCAUUGUCAGAAUGGACACUUUCAAGUCUUAUUUUGCCCAGAUCAGGUCUUGAUACUUGUUCAUAGAUGUCCAUAGUACAUGCUUAUAUAGGUCAAGUGGGUUUAGCCUUCCAAAAGAACAGUAAUUACUUUUCUGAUAUUGUAAUAGAUAAUUGAAAACUUUGAAGUUUGUUUUCCUUAUAAUGAAAUUUGACAUGCAACCUUUUAUAGGUGCCCUUACUAGGUGGAGCGUUUUGUGCAUGCACAUGGCACUUCUUUUAUAAUGCAGAAUCUUUAGAGGUAUUAGUGGCUAUACAAGCAGCAUUAACUGUGAUCGGUAAUGUGACAAUCUUCAUUGCUGCAUUCCGAAUAUUCAAGUCUUCAGAGGAAAGCUCAAAGAAUCUAUGAACUCUACAUAUGUGGCAAGCGAUAAGGAAUCUAAUUUCCCUUUCUUUGACCAGAGUCUGCUGUCGGGAUAUAAAUGAAAAGUGGAAAUUUUUUUCCAAAAACGAAAUUGUGGAAGCUCAUCAAUUUUAUGAAUUACGUUAUCUCCUUGCCCUCGUGGAAGGAGUUCGUGGAAGUUUGCCUUCACUUGCUGCCACUAGCCAGAUGGCUGGAAAGUAUUUGCCGCCAUAUAUGAGUUUGUCAAUCGAGUUAUUUGACUUGGGCUCUCUGCUGCAAUAUCGUACACUUUGCUCAACUCGGCCAAACAUCAUAUGGCAUAACAACGUUUAUUGACUUUGUAUCCAGUUCUUGUCAUGCUUUAGCUUCUUUAUUGCUGAAAAGCCUUUUUAUUUGGUAUUAUGCCUUUUAAUCCGUCUUUACAGUUUCGUGUUUCAACUGGGUCUAUUGUGCUUAGCACCAAAAGUUUGCGAACUAUGAUGACUAUCCUGACAAAUGUUCCUGACAUGUAUGAUUGAAGUAGAUGAACCUGGAAUUCGUUAGUCGUGUUUAGAUAAGACACACUAUUACUUGUUGGUUA